rnacentral:rRNA from 1 species
AGUGAACGCUGGCGGUAGGCCUAACACAUGCAGGUCGAACGGCAGCACAGUAAGAGCUUGCUCUUACGGGUGGCGAGUGGCGGACGGGUGAGGAAUACAUCGGAAUCUACUUUUUCGUGGGGGAUAACGUAGGGAAACUUACGCUAAUACCGCAUACGACCUACGGGUGAAAGCAGGGGAUCUUCGGACCUUGCGCGAUUGAAUGAGCCGAUGUCGGAUUAGCUAGUUGGCGGGGUAAAGGCCCACCAAGGCGACGAUCCGUAGCUGGUCUGAGAGGAUGAUCAGCCACACGGGAACUGAGACACGGUCCAGACUCCUACGGGAGGCAGCAGUGGGGAAUAUUGGACAAUGGGCGCAAGCCUGAUCCAGCCAUACCGCGUGGGUGAAGAAGGCCUUCGGGUUGUAAAGCCCUUUUGUUGGGAAAGAAAAGCAGCAGGUUAAUACCCCGCUGUUCGGACGGUACCCAAAGAAUAAGCACCGGCUAACUUCGU